rnacentral:rRNA from 1 species
GACGAACCGUGCGAACGUUGUUCGGAAUCACUGGGCUUAAAGGGCGCGUAGGCGGCUUGCCAAGUCGGGGGUGAAAUCCGGCAGCUUAACUGUCGAAGUGCCUUCGAUACUGGCGAGCUCGAGGGAGGUAGGGGUCUGUGGAACUGCUGGUGGAGCGGUGAAAUGCAUUGAGAUCGGAAAGAACACCAACGGCGAAAGCACUCUGCUGGGCCGACACUGACACUGAGAGACGAAAGCUAGGGGAGCAAAUGGG